AGUAAAAGUCGUAACAAGGUUUCCGUAGGUGAACCUGCGGAAGGAUCAUUAACGAUUGCUAAACAUGCAAAACGGACUGGAUUGAAUGAUAAAACUCCUGACGAGUUCAGGAAGGACGAUGCCUCUCUUUCUCUCGCGCAAGCGAAGAAGUGUGGCCAUCGUGGUCGUUGUGCUCCGUGCGCUGCGAACGAUGUAAAACAAACAACCGAUGGCCUCUCAUACAGUAAAUGUCUCUCGCCAUGGUAUACAGGCCUGGCAUCUGGUACGAGUCUCUCGCAGUCUCAAAACCAACCUUACAACUCUGAGCGGUGGAUCACUUGGCUUGUGGAUGCUAUGAAGACCAUAGCUAAGUGUGAGAAUGGCAGCGAGCCGUCGCUAUAUGCGCUGUCCUCUUCUUAUCACAUGUCGAAUGCACAUUGCGCCCCACCCAGCGGUCGGCUAAACAACCUGCAGACAAAAGCCUGUGAGUUGGAACAAAGGUUUGUGUGUGGCCCUCGAGCAACGGCGGGGGAGCCAGGAGCACAUGAGCGUGCGGACCAACUACUCGUGAGUAGUCAGGCUUGACCCUAUGGUGGGGCACUCCUAGUCGAGUGUGGUGGAUCGGACUCACAUCUCUUGUUGCGCGUUCGCGCGCGCGAUGGAGUUUGAGUUUCUUUGUUGCUGGUGGCAUUUGGGUCGACAUCAGUCGUGCCCGUAAACAACUGCCUUGGCUCGUGCCUCUGUGCGUUUCCUCACGCAGGUGCGUACAUUGAAGGCCAUAGCUGGCGAUCACUCUUGCGGCCAGGGCACUACUUCGGUAGUGCGCACAGGUCCAAAACGAAAUGGUAAUACGGGAGUCGGGUCUCUGUACUCUGGCCGCGUUCCGCACAAAAGCGGAGUGAUGAUCACGUGAUAUUCGAGGUCCCUGCGUAUCCGCUUCUCUGCUAAAAACAGAGUCGCCGGCAGUCUCGCAUAACUCAGUAUGUGGGGUUAUGAUCACAGUGGUUUUCGAGGUCCCUGCGUAUCCGCUUCUCUGGUAAAGGCUCGUCUCUCUCGUAGUAUUCGAGAAUGACACAAGCCUUACCUCUUUUGCACACACACACGCGCGUAUGGUGGCAGACAUCCAAACGCCUGACGAGAUCAGGAAGGAGUGUGUGUGACAGAAGUAACAGAGGGGCCGGCAGUCUCGCAUCACUUUGCUUGUGCUUCUGUUGGGGUGAUGAUCACGUGAUAUUCGAGGUCCCUGCGUAUCCGCUUCUCUCGUAAAAACAGAGUCGCCGGCAGUCUCGCAUAACUCAGUAUGUGGGGUUAUGAUCACAGUGGUAUUCGAGGUCCCUGCGUAUCCGCUUCUCUGGUAAAAACAGAGUCGCCGGCAGUCUCGCAUCACUCUGAUGUUGUACAGCUGUGUGGAAAGGAUGCGGAUGAAGGAGAGAGAACUGGCCGCGUAGGUCCAAAUCGGAAAUGGUAAUACGAGAGUCGGGUCUCUGUACUCUGGCCGCGUUCCGCACAAAUGCGGAGUGAUGAUCACGUGAUAUUCGAGGUCCCUGCGUAUCCGCUUCUCUGCUAAAAACAGAGUCGCCGGCAGUCUCGCAUAACUCAGUAUGUGGGGUUAUGAUCACAGUGGUUUUCGAGGUCCCUGCGUAUCCGCUUCUCUGGUAAAGGCUCGUCUCUCUCGUAGUAUUCGAGAAUGACACAAGCCUUACCUCUUUUGCACACACACACACACGCGUAUGGUGGCAGACAUCCAAACGCCUGACGAGAUCAGGAAGGAGUGUGUGUGACAGAAGUAACAGAGGGGCCGGCAGUCUCGCAUCACUUUGCUUGUGCUUCUGUUGGGGUGAUGAUCACGUGAUAUUCGAGGUCCCUGCGUAUCCGCUUCUCUGCUAAAAACAGAGUCGCCGGCAGUCUCGCAUAACUCAGUAUGUGGGGUUAUGAUCACAGUGGUAUUCGAGGUCCCUGCGUAUCCGCUUCUCUGCUAAAAACAGAGUCGCCGGCAGUCUCGCAUCACUCUGAUGUUGUACAGCUGUGUGGAAGGGAUGCGGAUGAAGGAGAGAGAACUGGCUGCUUGUGUUUGUUUAAGCCACCACCUCGACUUAGGAGAGGUUACCCGCUGAACUUAAGCAUAUCAGUAAGCGGAGGAAAAGAAACCAAUCAGGGAUUCCCUUAGUAGGGGCGACCGAACAGGGAUGAGCCCAGCGCAGAACCUCCCGGGCCACCCGGCCUGCGGCGGAAUGUUGCGUUAAGGGAAAGGUCGUAGUCAAACCCCACAGCCACGCGAGCUCUAAGUAAGUCACGAAUUGGCUAUCCCAACUAACGGCGGGAAAAUCUCCACGGAGGGUGUAAGACCCGUGUGGGCGCGUGUAAAUGCUGUGUGGGCUCGGCCUCUUUUCCCUGAGAGUCGCGUUGCUUGAGCAUGCAGCGCUAAGCAGGUCGUAAACUCGAUCUAAGGCUAAAUAUGUCCACAAGACCGAUAGCGAACAAGUACCGUGAGGGAAAGUGAAAAGCACUCUGAAGAGAG
rnacentral:rRNA from 1 species